UACGUAGGGGGCAAGCGUUGUCCGGAUUCAUUGGGCGUAAAGAGCGUGUAGGCGGCCAGGUAGGUCGGUUGUGAAAACUGGAGGCUCAACCUUCAGAGGUCGACCGAAACCAUCUGGCUAGAGUCCGGGAGAGGAGAGUGGAAUUCCUGGUGUAGCGGUGAAAUGCGCAGAUAUCAGGAGGAACACCGGUGGCGAAGGCGGCAUCCUGGACCGACACUGACACUGAGGAGCGAAAGCCAGGGGAGCAAACGGG
rnacentral:rRNA from 1 species